rnacentral:lncRNA from 1 species
CACUUUUGGUGAUUUUAAUAUCUUUGGUCUUUCCAAAGUACACCAACACGACCCUUGGUCGAUUCGGGAUGAAGUCAAAUCCUCGUAUUUCGAGAAUUCACUUCCUCACAUCCUCCCCUCCUAAAAAGGAGUUUCGUCCUCGAAACGAAUCUAUUAACUCAUACCUCAUCGCAUUUCCGUGAAAAGAUGAGGAUAAUGUACUUUCAUCGUCUCCUCGAGUUCCCACGUGGCCUCACGAUCGUCGUGACCGGUCCAACGAAUCUUCACAUAGGGAAUCUCGCGGUUCCUCAAUUUUCGCACCUCUCGAGCAAUGAUCAUCGCCGGGAACUCUUCGUAGCUCAAAUCUUCCUGUAGAUUCGGCGGUUCAUAGUACAUCACGUGCUCGGGAUCGUGGAUAUACUUACGAAGGUUAGAAACAUGGAAUACGUUAUGCACCCCUGCGAGCUUCGGCGGUAAUGCAAGUCGAUACGCUACCGCCCCAACACGUUCUAACACUUCGAAUGGCCCGAUAUAUCGGGGACUUAGCUUUCCCCGCACUCCGAAGCGUUUCACACCUCUCAUAGGUGAAACCUUCAAGAAAACGCGGUCGCCCACCGCGAAUUCCAAGUCUCUACGGCGUUUAUCCGAAUAGCUCUUUUGUCUUGACUGUGCCGUAAGUAGCCUCUCACGAGCAAGACGGACCUUCUCUUCCGCCUCCCGCAAUACGUCUGGGCCUAAUGCCGCAGGCUCACCUACAUCACUCCAACAUAUAGGAGAUCGGCACUACCGUCCGUAUAGGACCUCAAACGGCGCCAUCCCGAUACUAGCCUGAUAACUGUUAUUGUAGGCGAACUCGGCCAUCCUCAAAUGGUCCGCCCAACCACCCUUGUAGUCAAUGACACACGCCCGCAACAUAUCCUCCAGAAUCUGUAUAGUCCUCUCUGACUGCCCAUCUGUCUGAGGAUGAAAAGCGGUACUGAAAUCGAGCCGUGUGCCAAGUGCUUUCUGCAGGCUUUUCCAAAAGUGCGAAGUAAAACGGGGGUCUCGAUCUGACACGAUCGACUUCGGAACCCCGUGCAACCUCACAACUUCAUCCAAGUAUACCUGCGCUAACUUGUCGCCCGACCAGGUGGUGUGAAUCGGUAGAAAGUGUGCCGACUUGGUCAUACGGUCCACAAUCACCCAGAUCGCGUCAUGGCCACCCGUCGAACGGGGCAAUCCGACCACGAAAUCCAUCGCGAUAUUCUCCCAUUUCCAAACGGGGAUAGGUAGACUUUGGAGUUUUCCCGCUGGAAAUCGGCGCUCAGCCUUCACUUGCUGGCAUACCAAGCACUGCGCCACGUAGCGCCCAAUGUCAGCUUUCAUGCCCGGCCACCAGUACUGCAUCUUCAGAUCACGGUACAUCUUGGUGCCGCCGGGGUGAAUACUAUAAGGAGUCCGAUGUGCUUCUUGUAAGAUCAACUUCCGGACCUCCUCGUUCUCCGGUACGCACCAUCGGUUCCGAAACCGAAGCGCACCCUCGGCGUCUACAUUGAAAUCACCGCCGUGUCCACUCUCGAUGUCCCGCCGCACCUUUUGAAGAUUGGGGUCUGCAGAUUGCAAGCCCUUAAUCUGCUCCAACAAGGUCGGUUGGACAACGAGAGCCAUAAGCAUAGGCGGGGUUUCCGGAGCUACCACCUCGAGAUUUAGUCGCUCCAUCUCUCUCCACAGUGGCUCCUGGCGUGUGACCAACAUAGCAAGAUUUUCCACUGACUUCCUGCUAAGCGCGUCAGCCACCACGUUUGCUUUUCCGGGGUGGUAUAGGAUGGUAACAUCGAAAUCCUUUAGCAACUCUAACCACCGCCGCUGCCGCAUGUUGAGCUCCUUCUGCGUGAAAAGGUAUUUCAGACUUUUGUGGUCCGUAUAUAUUUCGCAUCGCGCGCCAUACAAGUAGUGCCUCCAUAACUUGAGAGCAAACACUACCGCGGCCAACUCUAGGUCGUGGACAGGGAAAUUCUUCUCAUAGUUGUUUAACUGACGGGACGCAUAAGCGAUCACCUUCCCGCCCUGCAUCAGAACACACCCUAAGCCCGAUUGUGACGCGUCGCUAUACACCACAAAGUCUUCGUCUUGCACCGGUAAGGCGAGCACCGGAGUCGAAGUUAAUCUAUCCUUCAACUCUUGAAAACUCCGGUCGCACUCGUCAUUCCAAUUGAACUUGGUGCCUUUCCGAGUCAGACGAGUAAGUGGACCCACGAUCUUCGAGAAUCCCUCUACGAACCGUCUAUAAUAACCCGCUAAACCCACGAAGCUUCGAACUUCCGUGACGUUAGUUGGGCAAGGCCAAUCCUUGAUCGCCUCCACUUUUCUCUGGUCAACAGAUACUCCGCCCUCGGAAAUGACAUGCCCAAGAAAUGUAACCUCUCGGAGCCAAAAGUCGCAUUUCUUAAACUUAGCGUAUAACUUCUCUUCCCGGAGGGUUUGAAGCACAAUCCUCAAAUGCUCGGCAUAUUCCUCAUCGCUGCGCGAGUAGACCAAGAUGUCAUCUAUGAAGACCACGACAAAUCGGUCCAAGUACUCCUUGAAGACACGGUUCAUUAGGUCCAUGAACGCUGCCGGGGCAUUAGUGAGCCCAAAUGGCAUGACCGUGAACUCAUAGUGUCCAUACCGCAUGCGAAACGCGGUCUUUUGAACGUCUUCCAGCUUAAUCUUGAGUUGAUGAUAACCGGACUGUAGGUCAAUCUUCGAAUAAACCCGGGACCCUUGUAAUUGAUCAAACAAAUCGUCAAUCCUCGGCAACGGGUACUUGUUCUUGAUCGUGACCUUGUUCAACUCGCGAUAAUCUACGCAGAGUCGGAACGAAACGUCCUUCUUUCGCACGAAUAGAACCGGGGCUCCCCACGGCGAUACACUUGGCCGUAUAAACCCUUUAUCAAGGAGAUCCAAUAACUGAGCCCGCAAUUCCUUCAAUUCCGCUGGCGCCAUCCGAUACGGAGCCUUCGAGAUAGGCGCGGUUCCUGGAACCAAGUCUAUCACGAACUCGAUUUUCCGAUCUGGCGGCAUUCCCGGUAACUCCGCGGGAAAUACAUCCGGAAAUUCCCGAACCACAGACAGCUCCUCGAGUGUAGGAGUCGUCCUGUCGACUUCUACAACGGUCGCCAAGUAGGCCACACAACCGCUGUUAACCAGCUUCCUUGCCCUCGUCGCUGUCACUAUAGCGGCGAAGCGCGAGCUCCUACAGGCCCAAUAGGUGAAUUCCUCUUGGCCCGGCUCUCGAAACGUUAUUACUUUACUUCUGCAGUGUAUAGUCGCAUAGUACUUCGAGAGCCAAUCCAUUCCUAGAAUGACGUCGAAGUCUUUCAACUUCUUGAACACUAGCAUACGAAUGGGCAUUAUCCAGGCGCCCAACCGCACUGGACAAGACGAACACUCCAUCCGGACUAGAAAGUCACGUCCGGGGCCCGACACCCUCCAAGUGCUUUUACUCUCUUGUAGUUUUAUGUCAUGCAUGCGUGCAAAUGACCUACUGAUGAACGAAUGCGUAGCACCUGUAUCAAACAUGGCUCUGGAGCGAACUCCGUCAAUUAAAACCAUACCUGCGAGUACAUGGCGAUCCUCCGCUUCAGCAGGUUCCUCGGCUUGAGUUUGGGCGGCGAACACCCGCCCGCUCGGAGCCGAUCUCGUCGCCUCGGCUUGGCGCGGUACCAUCGCACGUCCAGCCGAUGACGCAGCAGGUGGAACUCCUCCAUAAUGCGCAGGAGUCGCGGGAGCCGACGCGACCGAAGGGGCAGGUGAAGCCCUCAUUGGACAGUGGCGGCUAAUAUGGCCCGCCUGUCCACACGUGAAGCACUUCCCUUCCUGUUGAUCACACGUCCUUGGCUCGUGAUUCCCACCACAAAUCGUGCAUCGCUGCGGUCCGCGGCCUUUAGAUUGCGUUCGGUGGUACUUCGGGGGCUUCCUCGACUUGGUCUGAGCUCCCGAGCUACUCUGGGCCCGCUUCUUGCCACCGUCCUUCUCGGACGCUUCUCGCUCCUCCCGGAUGUGAGCGUUUCCUUGCUCCGCCCACAGCGCUCUGUCGAGCACCUCCUCGAAGGUAGUGAGCUUCAAGAUGUGCACCGCCCGGUAUAUGUCAGCCCGGAGCCCUCGCUCGAACCAGUCGGCUCGAUCCCUGUCAUCCCGCACUACGUCGGGGACGCAGUCAAUGAUGUGAGAGAACUCCCUCUCAUAUUCUGCUACCGUGCGGCCACCUUGCUUCAAUUUUCGAAACUGCUCCUGGAGUUUCUUCUUCUCACUAUCGGGGAAGUAAUUGACAUAGAACAAUCCCCGAAACUCCUGCCACGUCAACGGCGGAAGGUCGGAAGCUCGGUUUCUCUUGAUUCGCUUCCACCAGACCUUCACCGUCCGCUCCAAACAAUGAGUGGCGAGGUAGACCUUGUCCCUCUCUAAGGUGUAGAGGUCCUCGAAUAAGGUCUCCAUUGAGUCCACCCACGACUCAACCAUCCACGGCUCGACCUUCUCUCCCUCGAAGGUCGGUGGAUUGAACCUUCGAAACUUCUCGAGAGCCGCAAGUACGCGCUCCCUCUCCGCCUCCAACGCCAUCGCAUCGGGUGUCGUAGAACACGACGCCGCCGGAGGAACGCUCGCCGACGGAGGACGUGCCGCCACCGGAACUGCCGCAAUGCCCUCACCCUCAGCCGCCGUUGGCGCACGAGCUGGAGGUGGGGGCGGACCACGGCCCUCAGUCGCAGCUGCAGUUGCUGCCGGAAAAUGCCGCUCCAUAAGCCCCUGGAGCUGCUCGAACCGACUCUCUUGGCGCUGCACAAUGCCGGUUAAUGCCGACACUUGCGCCUGUAACUCCUGUACUUCACUAGAUCCGGCUUCCUCGGGCACCUCAGAAGGUGGUGUCGGAGCGGACCUGCGCACGUAGCGUCUUGGGGACAUUAUCUCCUGCAACGCAACAAUUGGGUUAGCCACUUAACCCACUUAACUCCAUCGCAUACACUAUAUUACGUGACUCAACUCCGCCCUCAGCGGAGGUACACUAGUGUAUUAGUCCUAACUCCUAGCGUCGUGUUGUCGGCCGCCAACACAACUCCUCGAGCUCGGAACCAACACCGCUCGGAUCUUUCUCUAGCUACACUAGAGAUCCAUACUCGAUCCGACCUAAUCGGAUUCUUCCUUAACCGAUAUAGGUUCACGUUUCUCUCACGUACCUAUACAACCCUAGGGUUCACCGUCCUAAGGUCUCUUAGGUCCAUCCUAGACUCUCUCUUUACUAGCUCUUAAGGCUCUGAUACCAACCGACUACUGUCACGCCCCGACGCCGCUACCAAUUUGGUCCGGUUCGGGCGCGUCGAACAGACGCCGAACGGACAGCACCUCGCCUGUCCGCCCAAGGCUAAACAACUAGAUCAUGUACAAAUAAGCGCCCAGGAAUGCUUAGAUAACAUACAUGAUCGAACAUAGCGCACACAAGUGCAAUACAUCUAAGAGCAAGAACCACAAGUAAUAUACUAGUGUAUAAAGAGAGAUAGUCUAACUAUUACAUUCACUCAAUAGUUCCAACAUUUGUUUGCGUUACAUUUUUCAUCCACCAAAAUGUAAAUACAUAUUUUUCCUCAAAAUACAUGUAGCUCUCCCAUAUCCAUCCAAACCUCAUCUAGUACACGAGGGUACUCUAAUGCAUAAAGGAAGGCUACCAACUAAACUCACUUAGGGCGCUAUGCCCUUACCGCGGUCCUCGCUCGACUCGCCUCUGUGUGUACCUGUACCCCAAAACCACACGGGGUGAGAACUAUAAAAUAUAGUUCCCAGUGGGUUCGGCCGCCGACGCCGCCGGUUUUCCCACUAGGUCUAAGCUGGCACAGAUAGAGAGAUAGAUAGAUAUACAAAGAUAAACUGCAACUACUCUAUCCUGCCACCAAUGAUAAUAAUGCAUGCAAAAACUACUAUCACGCUAGUAUCAUGUCAUGAGUAUAUAAAGUGCGUAGUAAUGUAAACUGCAAUAUACAUUAUGCCUACUCAAGGUAAUAAUGCAAGUCUACUAUGCAUUUCAUGUUUCUUACCCAAUUCGCUUGGUUAACCCGAAGGUUAAACCCUUGACUCACUCUCAAUCUCAUAGGUGAGGAGAAACUGCACUCGCACACCGAGACCGUCUGCGGGACAACUACGUCUGCCCCUAGUGAAGUACUCCGGAGACUCGUGCCUCGGUGGAGCGACCACCGACAAGCAAAAACAGACUAGUGAGUAUGAUCCAAUCCUCACAAAAGGAUACCCUGUCUACUAGGGUCAAUGUGCCUCUGCUGCACAAUCAUGAUAUAUAAUCAAUGUUGGGACUUCUACUAUCCCUAGGUUCAUAUCAAAUUUACUACGCUAGACUCGAUGCCACUCGUUCGAUCAUUGUAGUAAGUUUUCUGCUAAUUGACAUGCCACUCGUUCAAGUUUAGUGUCUCUACUACACUAGUUCAAUUCCUCUCUACUAGGCUAUGUCCAAGUUCGGCUCUUUAUGCCGCUAUAGGAUUCUAUGCCAUAAGACCCAAUCCUCAUGCUACCCUAGUCUAGGUGUUCAACUCAUAAGUACACUACUAAGAAGCAUGCAAGGAAAAGGAAAUAUACAUUUAUUAGUCCUACGAUGCAAUAUGAUCAACACAUGUGUAACUUAGACAUAAAAAGAAACCCGGAUGUUCCGGAACGACACCCCCCACCUUUUGCGUAUAAGGAGGCUCUAGAAGUGCGCUUCGGCGUCCUUUACGACGAAGCCUCGGUCUUCUUGGUCCCAAUGAUGCUCAAUCGGCCUUAUUUUGCCGAUAGCUCUCGACCCGCUCGACGAAUCAAAAUUCCGACUUCGCCCCCGCGUUUAGGCACCUACCAAUUAGGUUUACAAGGCCUCAAAUGAGAUCAAUCCCAUACUUUACCGAAAAAACCCCAUUUUGGUGCCCUAGGGUUAGCAUCAAGCUUAACCCAUCUCAAAACCCUAGAUUCUAGCUCUAAUCCUUCCAUUCAAGGUACUAGGGAUCCAUUUGAUCCCAUCCAAAGAGCUAAAACCCAAAAACACCAAAUUUCACAAACUAGGGUUAGAAGCUUACCUCUAGGUUAGCUUAAAAGAGAGAAGAGAGGAUGAGGGAGAAGUCCAAAAGCCUUCUUUUGUUGAUCUCCUUCAUCUUCUCCUUCCUUUUCUUCCUUCUUUCCUUCUCUUUCCUUCUUCUUCUUCUUUUCUCCUUCUUCUCUAGAGAGAGAAAACAAGAGAGUGUGAGGGGGAGAGAGAGAGUGAACUGAGGGAGAGUGAGAGGGAGAGAGGGACUAAUAAGCCCUCUAUUGUAACAAUAUCCACCCAAGCCCCUCCACUUUUCACUCUGUGCGCAGCCCUCCCUGGGCGUUCUGCGCGCGGAGGGACUGGUCUCCCCGACUUGGGACCGGUCCCCGAGAGCUUCAGCUCGGGUCGCGCGUUCGGGUACCGGUCUCUCCCAGAGAGACCGGUCCUCGGGAGACCGGUUCCUUCCUGAGAGACCGGUUCCCGAGAGCUGGGAUUUCAGGACUUAGCUAAUUUUUGGCUUUUCGCGCUGGGAUCACGUUCGGGAACCGGUCCCUCACUGCCAGGGACCGGUUGCCUCAAGCAACCCCCGCGACACCAGCCGAUGGGACCGGUCUCUCCCGGCCAGGGACCGGUCCCCGAGAGCAGUUUUGCUCCAGUGCUGAUUUCGCACUAUUUGCUCUCGUGGACUCGUUUCCAAUGCACUUUUGGUGAUUUUAAUAUCUUUGGUCUUUCCAAAGUACACCAACACGACCCUUGGUCGAUUCGGGAUGAAGUCAAAUCCUCAUAUUUCGAGAAUUCACUUCCUCACAUCCUCCCCUCCUAAAAAGGAGUUUCGUCCUCGAAACGAAUUUAUUAACUCAUACCUCAUCGCAUUUCCGUGAAAAGAUGAGGGUAAUGUACUUUCAUCGUCUCCUCGAGUUCCCACGUGGCCUCACGAUCGUCGUGACCGGUCCAACGAAUCUUCACAUAGGGAAUCUCGCGGUUCCUCAAUUUCCGCACCUCUCGAGCAAUGAUCAUCGCCGGGAACUCUUCGUAGCUCAAAUCUUCCUGUAGAUUCGGCGGUUCGUAGUACAUCACGUGCUCGGGGUCGUGGACAUACUUACGAAGGUUAGAAACAUGGAAUACGUUAUGCACCCCUGCGAGCUUCGGCGGUAAUGCAAGUCGGUAUGCUACCGCUCCAACACGUUCUAACACUUCGAAUGGCCCGAUAUAUCGGGGACUUAGCUUUCCCCGCACUCCGAAGCGUUUCACACCUCUCAUAGGUGAAACCUUCAAGAAAACGCGGUCGCCUACCGCGAAUUCCAAGUCUCUACGGCGUUUGUCCGAAUAGCUCUUUUGUCUUGACUGUGCCGUAAGUAACCUCUCGCGAGCAAGACGGACCUUCUCUUCCGCCUCCCGCAAUACGUCUGGGCCCAAUGCCGCAGGCUCACCUACAUCACUCCAACAUACAGGAGAUCGGCACUUCCGUCCGUAUAGGACCUCAAACGGCGCCAUCCUGAUGCUAGCUUGAUAACUGUUGUUGUAGGCGAACUCGGC